GCCAUUUUCUCCUCAUGCUGAGCCAGAAGCAGACCUGUGUCUCAUCUGCUGUCAUCCUGCCAUUUAGGCUUGUGAAAGCAUCAUCUUUUCACUCUUGUUUGACAAAUGCAACUGCAUCUUAAUAAAGGAAAAACUAAGAUGAA